AGUGUUUUCUGGUUCAAGCCAAGGNAAAGAUAUUGGACUUUAUAUUUUAUCUUCGGAGCCUGAGCAGGAAUAGUGGUACUGGAAGUAAAAGUUGUAUCAAGGUUUCCGUAGGUGAUCCUUGGAGAAGGAUCAUUUUAGAAUGUAUCUGUAAGUAAAAGUCGUAACAAGGUCUCCGUUGGUGAACCAGCGGAGGGAUCAUUACCGAGUUUACAACUCCCAAACCCCUGUGAACAUACCUUAUGUUGCCUCGGCGGAUCAGCCCGCGCCCCGUAAAAAGGGACGGCCCGCCGCAGGAACCCUAAACUCUGUUUUUAGUGGAACUUCUGAGUAUAAAAAACAAAUAAAUCAAAACUUUCAACAACGGAUCUCUUGGUUCUGGCAUCGAUGAAGAACGCAGCAAAAUGCGAUAAGUAAUGUGAAUUGCAGAAUUCAGUGAAUCAUCGAAUCUUUGAACGCACAUUGCGCCCGCCAGUAUUUUGGCGGGCAUGCCUGUUCGAGCGUCAUUUCAACCCUCAAGCCCAGCUUGGUGUUGGGAGCUGCAGUCUUGCUGCACUCCCCAAAUACAUUGGCGGUCACGUCGAGCUUCCAUAGCGUAGUAAUUUACACAUCGUUACUGGUAAUCGUCGCGGCCACGCCGCAAACCCCUNNUACUGUCAAAGUCGUCGCUAGGUC
rnacentral:rRNA from 1 species